AGCUCUUCUAGCAUAUAUUAAAAUUGCUGCAGUUAAAAAGCUCGUAGUUUGAGUUAUGGAGUGGGCCUAUUCGCGGCGUUUUCGCCGGAAGAAGAAGCGCGCUUUAUAAAGAGAGAGAGAGCUUUAUAGCUCUCGAUAACCGUGAAUAAAAAUUAUUGAUCAAGAAAAAUCGUCCAGAUUACAUUGAUUACAGCAUGGGAUUAUGAAAUAGGAAGGGCGGCAAACAAGCGUGUGAAAGCGCGUGCGUUAAAGUGCCCUUAAUGGUUAAUGAGGACAAUUUUCGUGGAAGUUUAUAUUAAUUUGCUAGAGGUGAAAUUCUUGGAUUAAUUUACGAUAAACAUCAGCGAAGGCGCUCUUCAAGGAUGUUCCUG
rnacentral:rRNA from 1 species